UAUAGGUAACAUAUGAGUGUAAUAAUAGCAUGAAUAAUUUGGUUAGUAUGAAUAAUUCGGAUAGUAUGGGUAUUUUAGGUUGCCAGACAGAAACCCGAACCCUAACCCGAAAAUUAAAAAAUAAGAACCGAACCCUAACCCGAUAUCUGAAUUACCCGAUAAUUCGGGCAAUUCCGUUCGAUUUGGAUUCGGUAGCGGAUUAGGGUACCCAAAUGCCCAAGCUAUGUGUGAGUAAUGCCAUCCACAUGGGACCGGCUAUAACACUCUAAAAACUCUUCUCUCUUAUUUAAUGAACGGCCAAUUUUUUUUGCCUAAAAAGUGCUUGUGUGGAAGCGUGGAACAUGCAGGUAGCCUCGUCCUCCUUCCAGUUUGCCACUAGUCCAGACCAAAAACAACACGGCAACAAAGAAAAGACAAUCAUCUGUGCCACUCUCUGACUCCCAUUUCUUGGAUUUACCAACUGAUAACUGUGCCUGCAAAAUGUUGAUGCACUUUCUCAUGUUUGAGCACACCUUCCAUACCAGCGGGGUGCUCCAUUCCUGCCCAAUCCAUACAAGUAAACCUUGCACAUGCU
rnacentral:lncRNA from 1 species